UACGUAGGGGCCAAGCGUUGUCCGGAUUUAUUGGGCGUAAAGAGCUCGUAGGCGGUUCGGCAAGUCAGCUGUGAAAUCUCCACGCUCAACGUGGAGGGGUCAGCUGAUACUGCUGUGACUCGAGUCCGGGUAGGGGAGUGUGGAAUUCCCGGUGUGAGCGGUGAAAAUGCGCAGAUAUCGGGAAGGAACACCAGUAGCGAAGGCGGCACUCUGGGCCGGUACUGGACGCUGAGGAGCGAAAGCGUGGGGAGCAAACAGGG
rnacentral:rRNA from 1 species